AUUUAAAGAGCCAAUCUUACAUAGCCGCACCUCUCUUAUCGAGGGAGCAUUUGAAUAUACUGGUAUUAUAACCAAACAUAAUCAAGAACCGAGAGGCCAGAAACAUUUCUCUGAGUAGUCAAAAUAAACAUCACAAAGUUCAUCAUUUUUAUUGAUAGAUUAGUCCUGCAAAUCCUUAUUUAGAGUUAUCUAUUUUUAUUUUAGAUCAAAUUCUUACACAGUCACGUUAAAAACAGAUUUAAGAGUAAAUUGGAUAAGCGAGGUCAAAAUGCCAUAGACAGGCAUUCUGACAGUAAAGCAGUGCCAAUUGACAAGAGGAGAAAAAUGUGUGUGUGUGUGUGUGUGUGUGUGUAUACAGAUACACAUAUAAAACUCAGCAGAUUGGAACCACUUAAUAUAGGGGAAACACAUGGGUAAACAUCAGUAAAGAGCAUUGUAUAGAAAGCACAAUGUAGUAAUCACAGCAUGCAGAAAAUAAUAAAAUUACAAAAUGUUCAAGAUAUUUGGAAAACAUACAAAACAUUUGAGACAGUUCCCCCCCACCCCAAAAGGGUAGAGCUGUUAGAUUUAGCAAAUAAAAAUAUUUUAUCUGGAAAUCCUAAAAAUAGUUAAAAAUAAGAGGGCUUGAUAAUCUCUGGGAGUUUCAUUGAUGUGGAUUGCCAUUUUCUCUGAAACGCCUGUCAAGCAUUACUGUAGGGGAGGUUGCAGAGUGGUGACUGAAAUAGGAAAUGUUGGAGUUGUCUGCUUGGACAGGGAAAGUCCCAGGCAAAUUUACUCUAGGCCUCUCAGUGGGUUAAGAAGGGUGUGUCUGUUGGGACUGUUUCUGGCUGCAAGUAAUGAAACCCAACAAAAGAUAGCUUAGACAGGAAAAGAGCUUACUGUUCUCAUGACACGGAAGAUCAGAGUUAGGCAGUCCAAGAUUAGUGUGAAUCAGCAAUGUCAUCAAGAGUCCAGAUUCCUUUAAUCCUACGGUUUCAUCAUCCUUAACAUUGUAAAAUGGCUGUUGUACUUCCAGACAGUAAGUGUAGGUGACAGGCAAGAAGGGGGGAAAAGGUAAGAUAAAGUUUAAAGGGCCCAAGAGCACGCCAGCUGAAAUUGUCUCUAAGAAAAGUUCCUGUGCGUCGCACCCAGUGAAGUCCUUUUUCAUCUCCUUGGUCAGAACUUGGUCAUCUAGGGUUUCCUGAUUUCUGGGAAUCUGGAAAAUUGGACACAUACACCUUGGAUAAAUUCAAGGUUCAGUUAUUAAGGAAAAAAGGUGAAAAGGUGGCAGUCUUUUAUUUCACCUCCAUUUAAGCAACAAUGUCGGGAAUUGUUCCUUCUGGCUUGAUAUUUGUAUGUUGGAGGUGGGGGAACAAAAGGCAUGAAGAACAAAAUUGGGAAACGAGGGUAAGAACACGUCGCUGCAAACCCUGGGAGCAGUCAAAUCAGGCUGCCAGCUGCAACAAGAAUCUCUCUAAUAAGGAAAUUAGAGCAUGAUCAUUUCUGGCUAUGUGACUCUGAUUCUAAAUAGGUUUUACAAAUAGAUUGUGAUUGAACUUGGAAACAUAAACAAAUUGGCUUUGUGGAAUAAAGGCUGCACUACAUUUUAGUUAGAGAAUGAAAAUGCUUUUAUGGGAGGCUUUCUGGGAGAAGGGACAUCUAUUUUCACGAGAGCAUGUGCCUUUGUGAAACACACCGGCUUUGUCGCUUUCUCUUUGGAGAGUCAGGUCCCACACACUCAAAAGAAAGUUUCCCAACAGGGUCCCCAAGAGGACAAGUGAUAAAGGCAGGGAAUGGGCAGUGUGUAUUUGAAACUCCCCAUUCAGUUGCUGGGAGGAGAAGUGUCAUUUAAAAAAGAUUUUAAAAUAUCAAUAGCUUAAAAAAUUCUAGUCAGCGAUCUCCCUUGGACAUUUCUUUUGUCUCUUGGAGGUUUGGGGAUAGAGGUUCUCUAAGCUCUAUUAAUAUAUUUUCACUUAUAAAUAUUCAAGCAGUGUUCCUGACGCCUCCCCAACUGACUCAGUGCAGGCUCCCUACCCUGGCAAGAGCGUGGUGCCCGAGGAGAUGCUAAAUUUCUAACAAGGCCCCGAGUCAGCCUCAGACAACCCAGAGCCAUUUGAAAACACCAAAGACUUUUCAGUCAGGAUAAAGGGUUUAUAAAUGUCCGUGUGUCCAAGCUUAUAUUCCACAUGAGAGGAUUAGCUUCCACUCUCUGCAAACUCUCCCAAUUGUUAUAAGUAGUCAUGGUUUUGCGUGUUUUGUGUGAAGCGCGAAACACGCAAAGGUGAGGAAACACAUCUGCCUGAUCGGAAGAUGCUCUUUUUUAUUUCCCUUUUUCUAAAUCGACGGAUUACUCGCUAAGGCCUAAUACACCACGGAGUACAAGUCAGCAAAAUCUCUCUGAUAGUGAUCAGUUCAUAUAUUUAGAAACAAAGUGUGAGGCCUGGUGGGGACCAUAAAGUCAUUGGCUUGCUGGGUAGGAGUUUAGAUCCAGCUCCCACAGAGUACAUUCCACUGCGUCAAAAUGCUUACACUGUGGACAUUCUUCCUAUGAUCUAAUGAUCUAAGCCUAGAUCCUUUUGUGUCAGCUGUUCUCCCCACAUCUGGGUGUGUUCCUAGGAAGUGGAUGAAGUCUGGAGCUGCAUUUACUCAUUCUCCCUUAUUGGGAUAUGGGGUCGCUCACAUCCCUGGGGCCUGAGUGGGUAAUUUCUCCCACUAAAUGCUGUCUAGGCCCAAGUGAAUCAACAUACAAGGGCUUACAUCUACACUUCCUCUAUGGCUCCAUUGACACACACACAUCCUGUAGGGAAAUAAAAUAUUUUGCUAAAAGAAGCUUA